rnacentral:rRNA from 1 species
AGUGAACGCUGGCGGUAGGCCUAACACAUGCAAGUCGAACGGCAGCACAGUAAGAGCUUGCUCUUACGGGUGGCGAGUGGCGGACGGGUGAGGAAUACAUCGGAAUCUACUUUUCGUGGGGGAUAACGGAGGGAAACUUACGCUAACACCGCAUACGACCUACGGGUGAAAGCAGGGGAUCUUCGGACCUUGCGCGAAUGAAUGAGCCGAUGUCGGAUUAGCUAGUUGGCGGGGUAAAGGCCCACCAAGGCGACGAUCCGUAGCUGGUCUGAGAGGAUGAUCAGCCACACUGGAACUGAGACACGGUCCAGACUCCUACGGGAGGCAGCAGUGGGGAAUAUUGGACAAAGGGCGCAAGCCUGAUCCAGCCAUACCGCGUGGGUGAAGAAGGCCUUCGGGUUGUAAAGCCCUUUUGUUGGGAAAGAAAAGCAGCAGGUUAAUACCCCGCUGUUCUGACGGUACCCAAAGAAUAAGCACCGGCUAACUUCGUG